UCCGAUAUAGUGUAGGGGCUAUCACAUCACGCUCUCAUGCUGAGAACCGUGGAGACCGGGGUUCGAUUCCCCGUAUCGGAG
rnacentral:tRNA from 1 species